UCAAUUGCUACUUUGUUCAGUGACCG
rnacentral:piRNA from 1 species